AAAAAAAAACCAGAGACACGAAUGGAGAAUUGCAGUGAGGGAUUAUACGGUGAAGAAUUAGUUAUAGUUUUGUGUUUAUGCGAGUUGGUUGUUUCGUAAAGUCAAAGGAAGACAAAACCAGAGACGUAAAUCAAUCGAAGAACAUGAAGAUAAAGGGAAGAUGAAGAGUCGAAGUUAUCGAUCGCAAUAAACCGAUUUUCAGAGGUUGAAUCAAUCAUCAGAAGAAGAAUUAGGCCAAAAAUUAGGAUACAUUGUGGGAAAAUAAAAUUUCCAUUGAAGAGAACCAAAUGAAACGCACGGGAGAAAUUAAAAAUUAGGUUACCCACUAAUGCCGUAGGUGCUCUUGGAUAUGUAGUUCUGGGGUUCUUUUUCUUUUUAAUUGAUUUUUGUGUUCAUGUAUCGGAUUCAUGGAAAUUUAAAGAUUAGUUUUGUAUCUUAGUUGUCAAUCCUGGUUUUGAAAAGUGCAGCUUUCUACGUUGGAUUCACGGUUUAUUCUGGUCAAUUUAAUUGAGGCAAGUCCAUAUAUACUCUUUAGUAAAACAGAUACAGAAAUCUGCUUAUUUCUGGUUGAAUAAGUUCAUAUAGGCAAGUUCAUGGACUGCUGUUGUUAAUGUGCUUGGGGCAGCUGUUACUUUCUGGCACAAUCAUAUUGCUACUUGAAUUCAGAAGUGACUCUAAUCUGAAAUAAUUCUCAAGACAGAGCUUGCUUAUAAUGUUAAUAGGAAUGCAUAUACACACAUUAUUGCUUAUUUCUUUGGUUAAUGGGGAGUCACUCGCUCCCACUAACCACUUUUGAUUCCACUAGGUUACAUGAUUGAUAAGAGUCGGCAACAUUUUGUCCUACAAUUUGCUUUGCAUUUUUAACUCAUAUGACAUUCUAGUCCAAAAAUCUUAUUGCAUUUAAUUUUCAGAAGUGGCAUAAUCAUUUGUUAUGUUCUUCCCUUUUGGUCUCAAUCAUAUCUUGUGGCUUAUAUGUUAAGAGUUUGGACGGAACUCUAUUUAUUGAGGGUCGCGUAGGCAUUCUUAUUCUGAGCAUUUUCAGCUUGAGCGACGGCGUGCAGUGUAUUGUGCUAGAGUCGGGCAUGGAGUGAAUUGUCCAAAUCCGUGCCCGAAAGCGGAACUACCUAAUGAAAGCUCAGGUUUAGAGGUUCUUUUUCAAGUACUGAUUUCAUCCCUUUCCAGAGGUGUGCAAGGGAAGGAGUUUAAUUUGGUGGUAGAAUUAGUAAAUUUUCCGAAGUAAUCAGAUGUCAGAUUCCCGCACCUUUGAUUUCACAUGCUAAAUUCUCUUAUAGACAGAACUCCCGCGAAGUUUAAAAAGUAGAUUCUGGAUUACUGUGAAGUUUAGACAUUUAGUUGCUUAUUUAAAGGUUUCAAGUCUUAGUUAUUAUGUGAUUUGCGACUGUAGUGUAAAUACGGGAAACAUAAGAUGGAUACCGAUGAUCCAUAGGUUACCAAUUAAUUAGCAGUUUAAGGGAGUGAGGCGUGCACGCAAUUAUGCACAAAUUUGAUACAAUAUAUGAUUUCUGGGGUUCUAGUGUCUCAAUUGAGGGCUUAUCAUUUGUGCACAUGGUGGUGUUGGUCUUUCUAGCCGCUGUUAUUUUUAAUGCAAGGUAAAAUGAUGUAUUUUUAGUUUUCUAAGCUUGGGCUUCCAUAACCUUGCUUUUUGGUGUUACACUAUGCAAUUGAUGGUUAAUAUAUAUGGGAUAGUUCCCUAAGUUCCAUUUA